GACGAACGCUGGCGGCGUGCUUAACACAUGCAAGUCGAACGGAAAGGCCCUGCUUUUGUGGGGUGCUCGAGUGGCGAACGGGUGAGUAACACGUGAGUAACCUGCCCCUGACUUUGGGAUAACUUCAGGUAACUGGGGCUAAUACCGUAUAGGAGCUCCUGCUGCAUGGUGGGGGUUGGAAAGUUUCGGCGGUUGGGGAUGGACUCGCGGCUUAUCAGCUUGUUGGUGGGGUAGUGGCUUACCAAGGCUUUGACGGGUAGCCGGCCUGAGGGGGUGACCGGCCACAUUGGGCCUGGGAUACGGCCCAGACUCCAACGGGAGGCAGCGGUGGGAAAUAUGGCACAAGGGGCGGAGGCCGGAUGAGGAAACGCCGGGUGCGGGAUGCCGGCCUUCGGGUUGUAAACCGCUUUCGCCUGUGACGAAGCGUGAGUGACGGUACUUGGUGAAGAAGCACCGGCUAACUACGUG
rnacentral:rRNA from 1 species